UCAGGUUUUGCAAAAUCCCCAAUUUCUUCAACCCUAAUACCGCAGUAAGAUGGACAUGGGGGUCUCAUUGGCGAUCUACGUCCGAGGCCGAAGAGGAUAGAGAUGGCAAUGCGAUCGGGUACUUAAAGGAAGAGUAUUGCUUAGAAUUCCAAUGGCGUUCGACGAAGAGAUGCAAUCUGUUUAGCCUGAGUUAAGGAGCAUAACGAAGCGCAUUUCACCGAAGUUCAUAUUCGCGUAUAAACUCCAGAAGACGAGAACUAGACGUCCAUCAAAUUUAUUUUAGUGACAACUUGGCAGAUUUGUUAAUUGAGGCACUUUCUACAGCUACAUUUGAGAAAUUGAUGCACAAGAUCAAUACGCGUCGACUCAGAGAUCUUUAUUGUUGUUGAAGAAGACAUGUUGAUAUGAGGGGGGAGGCUAUUGUGUACUGUACUCUUUUUCCCUUAGCAUAGGUUUUGCCCCAUUAAGUUUUUUUCUAGCAAGGUUUUUAAUGAGGGAGUUCUAAACGUAAAUCUUACAAGAAUAAUGUAUUCUUUUUCUUCA